rnacentral:lncRNA from 1 species
GUUUUGCUCUCUUCUUCUUCCUCUGCUUUGCUCUAUUUCUUUUCCCGAUCCCAUUAGAAUAAAAAUGACGGUUCCUAUAUUUUGGAGAAAACAAUACGUGCACAAUUAUUUUUUCUAUAAAAAUUUAAGCCUGCCAAACGCCACUUAUAAGAAUAAUAGUGCUUCUUAGAUGUAUAAUAUACCUUAGCUGUAUUUUGAAUGUAUAUAAUCAUUCUUAGUUUCUAUUUGGUUUACAGCAAAAUCAGUGAAUAAAAAGAUUUGAUUUGGUUGCUUAGGUUCAACACGUCAAGAUUUGGUUGCUUAGGUUCUAACACUUGUUACUUUUGUCUUUUUGGGCUAGGUUGGAGUUCUGGCGGCUAUGGCCUUGGAGAUGGGUCGCUAGCCGCCGGCGAUGAAGUCCAGAGGCUGUGUGGUGGCUGGAAAUAUCUUAGAUUACCCUGGUUUGUUGCGGUGGCGCUGGAAAUGAGGAGAUGGGAUGCAGCUGGUUUCUUAGGGUUGAAAAAGAAGAUGAGGAUCAUUGGUUUUUUAGAGAGGAUGAGGCCGUCAGUUUGUCUCGCCGAAUUCCGACAGUAAAGAGAUGGAGACUGCCUCAGAUUUGUUUUGUUUCUUAGGGAGAAAAUGGAAAUUAAAAAGAAAAUAAAAAUAAAAAAUCAAAUUUUGGGGUCUUCACGCGCCUAUAUUGGGUGAUAUUCAAUAUAUGUUCCAACUCAGCAAGAAGUGCUUAAAUGGAAUAAGUUUCGGGUGUAUAAGUGUUCAAUAGGAACAACCUUUAAUUUUAGGUGUCUAAAUAAAAAAUCGUGCCAACUUUAAUUGUCUCUAUA